rnacentral:rRNA from 1 species
UUCCAGCUCCAAUAGCGUAUAUUAAAGUUGUUGCAGUUAAAAAGCUCGUAGUUGAAUUUCGGGACCAAUAUGUCGGUCGUACUUUGUACGUACUAGCAUUAUUGGUUUCUCCCUUCUGAAGAAUCGCGAUGUCAUUAAUUUGGUGUCGUGGGGAAUCAGGACUGUUACUUUGAAAAAAUUAGUGUUUAAAGCAGGCUCGCGCUUGAAUACAUUAGCAUGGAAUAAUGAAAUAGGACGUUUGAUUCUAUUUUGUUGGUUUCUAGGAUCGACGUAAUGAUUAAUAGGGAUAGUUGGGGGCAUUAGUAUUCAAUUGUCAGAGGUGAAAUUCUUGGAUUUAUUGAAGACUAACUACUGCGAAAGCAUUUGCCAAGGAUGUUUUCAUUAAUCAAGAACGAAAGUUAGGGGAUCAAAGAUGAUCAGAUACCGUCGUAGUCUUAACCAUAAACUAUGCCGACUAGGGAUCGG